UGUCUAGGGGUUCAAACCUGAAGAAGCUAAAUAUCUAAACGGAGAGAUUCAAUAUUGCCUUUAAAAAGCAAUGUGCACUUCUCUCUUAGUAAGACGCUGUGAUCCAUUAGAAAUUGGAUUGUUACAACAAUCGUUUGGCUAUCAAUAGAUCAAUGUGAAGUUCAGUAAUACAAAUAAUUUAAUCAUAUAAAGUUUAAAUAUAUUGUUUAUUGAGCACAUUGUAUUCUGAUAAUAGCUGUCUGAUGGAUUUUAAAGAUCAUAUUAUUAAUGCUUUUGCAUUACUCAUAUUAUGAGACAUACAAUAUGUAUCCGAUCAACAGUGGUUAAAUUUAGCAUACCUUCUGGACCCGUCUUGAAACACGGACCAAGGAGUCUAUCUAGUAUGCAAGUAAAUGAGUAUAUGAAACUUAUUUGCACAAAAAACUUGACUGUUAUGGGACUACGAUAUAUAUUUCACGAUAUAUUUCCUCCAUCCCGGGGUAUUUUUAUAAACAUAUACGUAAGUAUAUGAAAAAUAUACCAUGAGCAUACUGGAUAUGACCCGAAAGAUGGUGAACUAUGCCUGAUCAGGUUGAAGUCAGGGGAAACCCUGAUGGAGGACCGAAGCAAUUCUGACGUGCAAAUCGAUUGUCAGAAUUGGGCAUAGGGGCGAAAGACCAAUCGAACCAUC
rnacentral:rRNA from 1 species